rnacentral:lncRNA from 1 species
CAGAGACCAGCACAAACGAAACUCCCAGAAUGACAGUAAUGCAGCAGACUCUGUGAUAUUUUGCAGCCAGGGUGGUAACCCAGAAGAUUUUCUUUUACUGCAAAACAAAGCGUCAUACCUCUGAAGAUGUUUCAUAUAUCCUGGUUUUUAAAUGUUGUUUAGAAGAGGAAGAACUUCUGUAGCUUAAGGGCUGUGCUGUUAAAACAAUGUUUCACGCAGCCAGACAUGACCCUUCUCCAUUCCCCUUUCCCAGUGUGUAGACUGCAGCCACGGUGUUGAGUCGUCUUGAACUAUGAACUCAAG